rnacentral:rRNA from 1 species
AUGAACAUGGCAGACACAAGAAAAAGGAACAGGUUGCAACGUCACGAUUGCAAGGCUCACAUGAUAGUUGGACUCCGAGAUAACCGAUGGACCGUCACGUGCUUUACAGACGACCAUACACAUGCUCUGGUGCAACUGGAAGAGAAGGUUAGGUUUUAUUGGUCUCAUCGAAAGAUCCCACGAGAAGACCUCCAAAUGAUAAGGACGUUCCAUGAACGUAACUUGUCAACCUCAGAUUGCAUGGGAAUCCUUGGAGAUUGUCACGGAGGUGAUCAGAGGCGCCUUGGUUAUGUCAAAAGGGAUGUACCAAAUGCACGGUCCGAGAUGCGGCAAACCAUGGCAUUUCAGGACAUGGCCAUGACAAUUGAAUACUUUGAGAGGCGGCAAGCUGAAAACCCACAGUUCUUCUAUGCAACACAGGUGAAUAAGGAAACAAAUGUGGUAGAGGCAUUGUUUUGGGUGGAUGGAAGGACAAGAACACUAUACCGAAAGUACAAGGACUGUGUCUUUUUUGAUACAACCUUUUGCACAAACAAAUAUAAUAUGCCUUUUCUCCGAUCGUUGGCAUCAACAACCAUCUUCAGACUAUUGUCCUAG